AAGUACCUGUUUAAUGGAAAAAGCAAACAAGGAGAGCUUCUCACUGACACUGGUAAUUGAGAUAGGGGAAAAAUGGGACAUCGAUAGGGGAUGUACAGUAUCUGCUGUUUAAGUCUAUUCUAACAGAAGCAAUAUACAAGUCAGAAUCCAUGGCAAGGCAAGCUGAAUCACUUUUUCUAUCUUAAUUUAAGGUUUUACUUAUCAAACUGAUUGUACCGACUGGUAACAAGUUCUGGUGUAGGUUGUGUUGUAUACAAUGUGGAAAGCAAGAAACAGGAGUUCAGUAAGGCCUUUAAAGAGGUAUUUUUUUCAAGUUUUAGACUGACUGUAACCAAAGUGAGAUUUUGGAUCUUUGGGAGCAGUAGGCUCUAAAGUCUGGUUCUAUGUAUUAGAAACAUAACUUGCUGGUGCUCUGGCAAAAAAAAAAAAAUCCUCAUCCUGCCUUUUCUACUUUGUCCUUUCCUGUUGUUCCCCCUAGACUUCCUUCAGCCCUCAUAUCCCACUGCUGGAUCUACACAUGAUAAGCUAUUAGCUUCAAUAGUAUUACUCCCAUCUGUCCAGGUUUGUUACCUACUACUAUCCUUCCUCUUCCUCAGCAGCAGCAUCUGGCUUUCACUCUCUGCUGAGAAGGAAGACAAAGACUGAUUCUCUGGGAAAUCUGCUUUCACAUUAGCUUAGCAGGAAUAUAUUUAAAAGGGAUUUCCCAAAGCAGUUUUGCUUUUUAAUUAGUGUUUUGGUUUUCAUCCAUCUCUCUCUUUCUCUCUCUAAAAGACAUAAAAGAAUAAAAGACACAUACUCUGCUACAGGUCAUAGAGACAACAGACCUUCUUGGGUGUUUAAAGAGUCUAGUUGGAAUAGUACAAAGUUUACAGCUGCAAAACUUGAGUAAAGAGCAGAUGACUUGUCUUGCAGAGCUCUAUACUUCUCCAAGUAAGGAACAACUGCUAAAACCCAAGCUGGAUGUUCACAGUGUAGACAGAGCAGCUGUGCUGGUUUACACAGAAUAAAUGGCUUCAGGCCAUACAGUGUCAACUUAGUGGUCUCUUCUUUAGUUUCAGACAACAAAAUUAAGAAACAGCUCUUCUCAAAAGACAGAUAAUACAUGCUAAAACACCUUAAUCAAAUCUGAAAAAGUGCUGGCUUGUCAACCUUGGCUUUAGGUGCUGAACUCACCACAGAUUUUACAACCUUUUAUUUAGUGACAGAUAUCUGGUGGUAUGGUAUUUGACAAUUGCACCUGGCUUUUAAAUCAGGAUCUUCUCUUUUUAAACAAGACAGAAUGUGCUGUCACACAUGCUGUCACACUGUUGCAGUGAGGCACCCUUUGCAGUGUUGCUCCGUGCCCCUACAGGGCACAUCUUCAUCCGUGCCCUGUGAGCUGAAAGCCUGAGUCUGCAUUCAGCAAUUACACAUUUCUGCAGAGCUUUGCUGCCAGACAACAUGCCACAGUGGAGUGACUGCAAUUAGAAGUGGCAAAGGGAAUUCUGGACUAGACAAGAUGGCUGGUACCUAACAGUGCAACACUGAGUUUUGAAAAUUGUAACAUCUGUCUGACUGACAAGAAUCUGGAGCUGCCUAGAGCUAACAUCUGAAACACUGGAGCUGCAACUUCUGAAGUAACUGUGUCUUUUGGCAAGGCCUGUAGAGUAUGAAGGAGAUGGACCAGAGCACUGGAAACAGAGAGCCUAAUUAUAACAUAAGCAAAAGAAAAUAAAGUUAACUCCAAAAAUCCCAAAAGCAAUAAACUGCUGACAAGAAGAGCCAUAGACCCAGCAACAAGAAAAUAUGCAGCAAUCUUCAGGCAUUCUGAGUGGAAGGCACUUCACACAGGAGUAUAACUCAAACUAAUUGUACAGUUAUUUCUGGAAGUAUUUUGACAUUUGCAGUGAACUGCAGUCUAAUAGACUGAGCCAACAGAAACAGAACUGUUCUUUUGCACAUGAUAAGGACUCAUUGUUUAGAUGCAAUCUCGUGCCUAUAAUGCAAUUUUGUGACAGCUAUACAUUGCAUUAACACCAGACCAUGUUUGGAUGGCAAGGAUCAAGUCAUGUACUUACUCAUGC